AAAAAAAAAAAAAGGACCAAGCUGUCGAUUUCAGUCCUUGGUUUAUUGCAGAAUAGCCUAGGGGCUAAACGCACGUGAUCUUGCUUCAGAUUGCUUAGGUAUUAAAACCAAGGCAAAUUAACUUCUCUGAGUGUCCUCUGUAACUUGGGGCUCGUGGGGGAGUAUUUUUCACAGGGUGGUGAGGAUAAGAGAAGUAUAAAUGCAUGUAGAGCAUUGAGAACGUGCUCGGCACCUGAGGCCUCCGUGCAUGUCAGCUAUUAAGAUUCCUGAGCAACCACAGUGAGCACAGGGGUGCUCGCCAAGCUAGGAAGCCAAGCCUGGACUUUGCCCAGUGGUUUCGGGGCCUGCUUUUAAUUGCACCAGACCCCACGCGAAGGGACCGCUGCUUCUCUCUUAGUCUCUGGAUUUCAUGUAGUCAUUCAAUAAUUACUGAACCAGGCCCUAUGGGAAUAAAAGGAGAAGAAGGGCAUGAUCUCUACAGCUAUAAAGCUCACAGCCUGGUAGACGAGACAAACCAGUAAAAAAGGAAGAAGAAGAAGAAUUACUCUGUGUUAAGUGCCAUAAAAGUGGAGUGGGGUGCGCUGGUGGUACAAAGGAAGGUGACAUGUCGUAGCAGCCUUUUGACACACGCUCUGUGGCGGUAAGAACGUAUAUCGGGCAUCUUUCAAAACUGUUGACCAAGACGGGGGAUGAUUUUACAACCAAGUAUCUUCAUCUGCAGUUAAAGACAUGGAAGCAAACUCAAAUAGACGGGCAUUGUAUUUCUACUGUUGUAGGCAAGCGGGCCACACGUUAGAUUCUGGAGACUGGCCAUGGUAUGGAGAGUCGCGUCACUGCGUGGCCCAUCCGAGGAAGACUGCAUCUGACGGGAUUUGCUCACAUACCUGCUGGCAAGACCCCGUCCUUUUUUGUCAUAUCUUGUCAUCUUACUGGGAAAACAGACUAACGAGAAUUUAAAAUACCAUCAGGUCCCUUCUUCAUCCUAAAAUGCCGCUUCCCAGCCUUUUCACUUGCCCACUUCUUUUCUGGGAGAAAAAAAAAAAAA